rnacentral:rRNA from 1 species
AUGAACGCUGGCGGCGUGCCUAAUACAUGCAAGUCGAGCGAACGGACGAGAAGCUUGCUUCUCUGAUGUUAGCGGCGGACGGGUGAGUAACACGUGGAUAACCUACCUAUAAGACUGGGAUAACUUCGGGAAACCGGAGCUAAUACCGGAUGAUAUUUUGAACCGCAUGGUUCAAAAGUGAAAGACGGUCUUGCUGUCACUUAUAGAUGGAUCCGCGCUGCAUUAGCUAGUUGGUAAGGUAACGGCUUACCAAGGCAACGAUGCAUAGCCGACCUGAGAGGGUGAUCGGCCACACUGGAACUGAGACACGGUCCAGACUCCUACGGGAGGCAGCAGUAGGGAAUCUUCCGCAAUGGGCGAAAGCCUGACGGAGCAACGCCGUGUGAGUGAUGAAGGUCUUCGGAUCGUAAAACUCUGUUAUUAGGGAAGAACAUAUGUGUAAGUAACUGUGCACAUCUUGACGGUACCUAAUCAGAAAGCCACGGCUAACUACGUG